UUUCUCUUCUUUGUCUGUCCACUCCCUUUGUUUUCAACAGUCUUUGGAGCUUCUGGUACCACUGGUGUGAUCUCAUUCUUGAAUGCUAACACCCUGGUGUCUCCUAACGCUACGCUUUCUAAGCAACCUGAGUGUUCUCUGAACUAGGUGAACAAUCCAGGGCGAUAGCGUGAAAGGGCCUCGUCAUUGCUCAUCCAGUUUCACUACAUUAGCCUCCUCGUGUUCCUAAGGGCUACCACCAACUAAUGCUUUUCGACUUCUGGCUAGAGCUACUAACCUACCUCGAACAAGAGCUGCAUCCCGGUAGCGCUUUGAAUCAUCAUUUUACUAUUCCUAGGUUCGAUUCCUGCUGUCUUUACUUUCUGUCUUGCCUCUAUGCCUUCCUGGUGGGUGACUGUGACCUGGAGAUGGUUCGAUGGUUGGUGACUCUAAGCCAGAGUGAUGCUUUCUUAGUUUCAUAAAUGCCUUUCUAAGCCCUUUCCAAUCAAUGGAGAAUGGUUACUAGAGCUAGCGCCUGUCCCACUUUAGAACACUAAGAACGUAAUAAGCCUAGCCGGGACAAAUGCACUCAGUGUUAGUCCGAUCACCUCGGCUAAAAUCAUCUUCCCUUUAUUAAUGACCAAGGGUAUCCAUAUCAUGAUAUGUAGAUACAAGAGGGCAGAGGCAUUGAUGCGGGUAGGAUGCGUGUCUGCUUUCCUGUUGUUUGAAGGAGUAGAUACAUUCAUUUCCUUUUGCCAGAGUGAGAGUGAGAGUUGUGUGGGNNNNNNNNNNNNNNNNNNNNNNNNNNNNNNNNNNNNNNNNNNNNNNNNNNNNNNNNNNNNNNNNNNNNNNNNNNNNNNNNNNNNNNNNNNNNNNNNNNNNGGAGGAGGGGAAUUUAUUUCUGCCUCCAACUCCAUGUAAUUCGAACUAACACUUUCUACGCUCAUAGCCGGCCCAUUUACCGAAUUUGGGUAUGACGACUCUGGGUCAAAUUCCACAAGCAUUCCGUCCAUUGAACCCGGGAAAACAAAAGGAUCCAUCGUGACUCCCCAUCUUUUUCAGCUCUGCUCCCAAACAAAAGAGAAAGGGAGACUUAGUUUUAGAUCGGCGUUGGUUUUUCCAACGAAAAACAAGAACAUUCUUUCACGAACUUCCAUGACAAAAUGCUAGUUGCCUCGUAACGCAUACACUGGAGCGUUUGUCCCAUCGACGAAGACUACUUACUAUACGCGUUUUCGAGUUGCAUUUAGUGCUCUUUUUCGUCGCCAGCUAAAUCAAUCAAUUUGACAAGAUCUUGCAUCAAUCACCUCGUCCGCUAGGGAAAUGCACUCCUGAAUAGACUCGAUUCCCCGCCCCGCAUCAGUGAAAUGUCUAAGACGCAACGGAAUAGCAACGUUUCUUUCUAUAUGAUAAUAUGCACCGAGGGGAGGAGUAGUUUCAAAUAGAAGUCAAGUAAACAGAUUCAAGUUAGCCCAGUUUGGUUCCUUGGAAAAGCUGUUCAAAGCAAAGGGUUGACGGGGGGUGGAGUCCCAUCCCAGGUUUAGUAUAUAGCCCCUGUUUUCCAAUCCGUAAACGGUGGAUUGACUUGCUCUUUAUCAAAUCCACAUUAAAAAGGGGUUUUGUCGUUCAAUGCUUUGAUCCGCGCACCUUAUUUCUGAUUGAACCACUUCCUCGAAAGGACAUCGUAUCGGUGCCAGAAUAUGGGCUAGCGGUACACCAACCUCCCCACCAACUGCUACGCCCCGCGGGGCUUCUUCCUAGCGCUAUUGAAAUGAUAUUCCUAUUAUUGGUCCUAGCAAUAUCCCUGGACCAGGGCAUGGCACCUAUCCAACUAUGUCUUGUUUCGGUUUCCGGAUCCGAAUCUUUUGUUAUACUUAUGUAUGGAUGAUUGUACACAACAGGUGUGGAAAGUGCGAUAGAGCUCGAAAAUGGAUGCCCCUAUUUCAAUUUCAUAAGUGCUUGUGCAACGGCUUGAAAGUGACAGACUGAGUCAAGUGACCUGUUUUUGUCACAUGAUCCAGAAUUGCACGAGAACCUACAAGUCCUGUUAUCGUUCUUAAUUCGAUAGCCACGGGACAGCCGUUUUCUCGUCUCUCAGCCUUUCUUAUACCUGCACUGACCUCAACGGUAUCCAACCUGCAAAAAAUAUCUAUACCCAUUAGCUCAUCACGCCAACAGUUCUCUUGGGUUGACUGAACCUACCUAUCCGAAAUCCCUGUUGCCAACUUCUUACUGCACAGAAGCAAUGGAACAGUAUCGUAAAGUGAAGUGAAGCAAACAAACCACUCCUUUGGAAUUGAUGGACUUGACACACAGCCGACGACUGAGAUGUGCCAUUGUCAUCGUCAAGAUCGUCCAUCACGAGUACCUUCUUUUCUGCAUCCGUCAGUUCAAGUUUUCCCAGCAUGUUUUAUUACUUGCCUCGAUCGAUACCAUCCACUUAUUUCUCUUUCUCACGGGACACAUAAAGAUACCAGCGCUUGUGCGAACAGUUGAUGCUUGUUAAGCCAUAGCUAUCACUUCUCGCGCCAAAGCGCUCCCACCAACUACAAAAUACCUUAUAGGAGGGGCCCUUGUCUUCAGCUAAAAAGAAGCAGAUAUUGCCGUAAGCAGGAGAUGGAAAAGCCCACGAUCCAUAACUUACUCACUCAGAUAUUUACUAGAGCUUGGCAGUGAAUGAAGGCAGUACAGGAGACUCCGAAUCCUAUUCAGAUUGCCAAUGAUCCAGUCAAGCAUGAACUAACCAAGCAUAUUGGUUUCGAUCACGUCUAUCCGAAGUCAAUAGAGCAAUUUAGAGCGUAGCGGUAUCUUUUGCUAAUGAAAUGAGAUUGGAUAUGAAUGUGGAAUUCAUUGAGUGGAGAGAUGAACUAAUCUAUACUCUGCCUGUCUUCCAUUUCUCUGAAGAUUUCGUUUACAACACAACAUCAAACUCCAAUUUCAUGAAUUGAUAGGUAAGGAUCGCUGUCGAACAGCUCUUCUUCAUUUCUUCCGGAAUUCUUUCUUCUAAGGUAGUAGGUAUCGGGUUUCCCUGUUCAUACUCCGAACAUGAGUUAAUAUACUCUUGUAGAGCAGAUCACUUAGGGCUUUAUACUGGUUCGACGACUGGGUUCUUGUUCCUUUCUCUUCUUUGUCUGUCCACUCCCUUUGUUUUCAACAGUCUUUGGAGCUUCUGGUACCACUGGUGUGAUCUCAUUCUUGAAUGCUAACACCCUGGUGUCUCCUAACGCUACGCUUUCUAAGCAACCUGAGUGUUCUCUGAACUAGGUGAACAAUCCAGGGCGAUAGCGUGAAAGGGCCUCGUCAUUGCUCAUCCAGUUUCACUACAUUAGCCUCCUCGUGUUCCUAAGGGCUACCACCAACUAAUGCUUUUCGACUUCUGGCUAGAGCUACUAACCUACCUCGAACAAGAGCUGCAUCCCGGUAGCGCUUUGAAUCAUCAUUUUACUAUUCCUAGGUUCGAUUCCUGCUGUCUUUACUUUCUGUCUUGCCUCUAUGCCUUCCUGGUGGGUGACUGUGACCUGGAGAUGGUUCGAUGGUUGGUGACUCUAAGCCAGAGUGAUGCUUUCUUAGUUUCAUAAAUGCCUUUCUAAGCCCUUUCCAAUCAAUGGAGAAUGGUUACUAGAGCUAGCGCCUGUCCCACUUUAGAACACUAAGAACGUAAUAAGCCUAGCCGGGACAAAUGCACUCAGUGUUAGUCCGAUCACCUCGGCUAAAAUCAUCUUCCCUUUAUUAAUGACCAAGGGUAUCCAUAUCAUGAUAUGUAGAUACAAGAGGGCAGAGGCAUUGAUGCGGGUAGGAUGCGUGUCUGCUUUCCUGUUGUUUGAAGGAGUAGAUACAUUCAUUUCCUUUUGCCAGAGUGAGAGUGAGAGUUGUGUGGG
rnacentral:lncRNA from 1 species